ACCGACCCGUCUGCUUGCCUUCACAUGUAGAACUGUGCAGAGACGCAGCUAGCUAUCUUGCUUGUUUUGAAAUUAGUUGGCGAGGUAAUUUAGCCGGCGUGGUAACUUAGCCAGCUAGCUAAUAAACACGUUUAGCCAGCUAGCUAAUAAACACGUUUAGCCAGCUAGCUAAUAAACACGUUUACCCAGCUAGCUAAUUAAAGCGAUUAUCUAGGAACUUUGAAACUACUUAACAAACCAGGUUGUCCUGAGGUUCGCUACUCUGAAGAAGACUGAUCGAAGCUGAGAUGAACCAAUUUGAACAUCUGAAAGAUGACGACCCAGGGUAUCAGCAGUGUUUGGGUGUAUAAUGGGUGUAUAUUCUCUCCCCCCAGUCUGAAAGAUGACGACCCAGGG
rnacentral:lncRNA from 1 species